GAUGAAGAACGUAGUGAAAUGCGAUAAUUAAUGUGAAUUGCAGAAUUCAGUGAAUCAUCGAGUCUUUGAACGCACAUUGCGCCCGCUAGUAUUCUGGCGGGCAUGCCUGUCCGAGCGUCAUUUCAACCCUCAAGCCCCCGGGCUUGGUGUUGGGGAUCGGCGAGCCUCCGCGCCCGCCGUCCCCUAAAUCUAGUGGCGGUCUCGCUGUAGCUUCCUCUGCGUAGUAGCACACCUCGCACUGGGAAACAGCGCGGCCACGCCGUUAAACCCCCAACUUCUGAACGUUUGACCUCGGAUCAGGUAGGAAUACCCGCUGAACUUAAGCAUAUCAAUAAGCGGAGGA
rnacentral:misc_RNA from 1 species